rnacentral:rRNA from 1 species
GAGUGAAGCGGCAACAGCUCAAAUUUGAAAUCUGGCGCAAGCCCGAGUUGUAAUUUGUAGAGGAUGCUUCUAGGCAGCGGCCGGUCUAAGUUUCUUGGAACAGGACGUCAUAGAGGGUGAGAAUCCCGUAUGCGACCGGCUGGCACCUUACGCGUAGCUCCUUCGACGAGUCGAGUUGUUUGGGAAUGCAGCUCUAAAUGGGAGGUAAAUUUCUUCUAAAGCUAAAUACUGGCCAGAGACCGAUAGCGCACAAGUAGAGUGAUCGAAAGAUGAAAAGCACUUUGAAAAGAGGGUUAAAUAGUACGUGAAAUUGUUCAGAGGGAAGCGCUUCUGACCAGACUUGGGCUCGGUGAAUCAUCCAGCGUUCUCGCUGGUGCACUUUGCCGGUCCAGGCCAACAUCAGUUCGUCGCGGGGGAUAAAGGCUUCGGGAAAGUGGCCCCCUCGGGGGUGUUAUAGACCGUUGUGCAAUACCCUGCGAUGGACUGAGGUUCGCGCUCCGCAAGGAUGUUGGCGUAAUGGUCAUCAGCGACCCGUCUUGAAACACGGACCAAGGAGUCGUCUUCGUAUGCGAGUGUUCGGGUGUCAAACCCCUACGCGUAAUGAAAGUGAACGGAGGU